CAGCAGCCACGGUAAUACGUAGGUGGCAAGCGUUGUCCGGAAUGACUGGGCGUAAAGGGCGCGUAGGCGGCGAUCAAAGUCAGGCGUGAAAUUCCUGGGCUCAACCUGGGGGCUGCGCUUGAUACUGGGUUGCUUGAGUGGGGAAGAGGGUCGUGGAAUUCCCAGUGCAGAGGUGAAAUUCGUAGAUAUUGGGAAGAACACCGGUGGCGAAGGCGGCGACCUGGUCCUUUACUGACGCUGAGGCGCGAAAGCGUGGGGAGCAAACAGGAUUAGAUACCCCAGUAGUCCCUGUCUCUUAUAC
rnacentral:rRNA from 1 species